UACGUAGGGUGCAAGCGUUAAUCGGAAUUACUGGGCGUAAAGCGUGCGCAGGCGGCUUUGCAAGACAGAUGUGAAAUCCCCGGGCUCAACCUGGGAACUGCAUUUGUGACUGCAAGGCUAGAGUACGGUAGAGGGGGAUGGAAUUUCGCGUGUAGCAGUGAAAUGCGUAGAUAUGCGGAGGAACACCGAUGGCGAAGGCAAUCCCCUGGACCUGUACUGACGCUCAUGCACGAAAGCGUGGGGAGCAAACAGG
rnacentral:rRNA from 1 species